UGUAAGUCAUCUUCCGCACCCCUGCUGAUUCCUUCUCAGAACUUCAGGUUGCCAAACAGACUGAUGAAGCAAUUGUAUGAUCCCCAAGGACAACAGUCUGGGAGACAGGGCCUCCCCCAAGCCAGCCAGGGACCUGGGAGCUAGCUAAGGUGGCGCUUGAACCUCAGCAGGGCCAUCGGGUUACCACGUGAUGCUGGGCAUGGGACUGAAUCACUUGAAUGCUCUCAGGUGCUUCUGUUCAAUUUGCCUGAGUCAAAGGACCUCAUCAUUACCCUUCAUACAGCUAUUUCGUGGAAGCACCAGGUCACUUAAAUCACAGUCUCUGAGGGGUCUCCAUGCAACCCUGGAUCGUAUACCAACUCAAAGGGCUGAGUGGGCACAGCCCAUAGAAGGAGGCGGGCCUGCGCUUGAAGGUCUUCAGCAGGACACUCUCUCUGCUGGAAAAGUUACAUUGUAGCAUUUUGAGUUUACAAAAGACUAUGUAUCUAACUAAUGACUACUAUAUUGACAGGCGUUUGGACGUGGCUACAAUGUUGUAGGGAAAACAUGAUGUCUCCAUUGUCUUUGACUUCCAGUAAGCCCCAGGAAAUUGUUAAUCAUUAAGAGGUACCUUACUGGCUUCUAUUCCAAUCUGAAGACAUGAAGCAGAGCUCUGUCUGCAAGUUUCAAAGGUCCAGCAGAGAGUUGUGAACGUGAUGAGAUACAAGCUUGGGAUAGAAGGGAAGGCACCAACAAGCUGCUGAUACAUUGUUGCAAAGUCAUAGCUGAGGAACUUGUACUGCGUAGGAAUUUCCCAGUAGAUGGAGCAGACACAGCUGCCUUUGCCUCGCUGAUCCUAGAUCACCGUCAGUAGGAAGGACCUGAGCUCAAGAAGGGUGGAAUGCCUUGUGAGCAUGGGAAGACAUGCUUUUUCUCUACCUCUCUCCGCCUCCCUCCUCCUCCCUCUCCCUUCCCCUGCUCCUUCUUUCCCCUGCCCUGUCUCAUUGUGAAGAUUCCACAUAUCAAGCAGUGCGGUGCAGCUUGGAGGCAAACGGCGGGCAUGUGUGAUCUCCCUGGAAGAGAGACAAAUGGCGCUGCAGGGAGCUCCAUCCAGGGACGGCUG
rnacentral:lncRNA from 1 species